AAAGUGAUGACACAACCAGAGAGUUAACAAGAUGGAAAAUCUAAAUCUAAUUAUCAGCUUCUGUUUUUAUGUGAACCAUCCCCCUCUCUCCUUACUUUUUCUUACUCCAUCUUUCUGUUCUUUUAAGAUUGGGCCCAAUUUCCUGCCCCAAAGGAGAUGUCUCCCAGAAGGAAGUAGAAGGCUCAAGCCAGGAGAAGACACAGGACUGAUUCAAGGCUGUGGGCAACUUUUGUUUUCUGAAAGACCUAGGAUUCUUUGAACGUGGGAAGGACUACUUCAAGUUUUCUUUGAAGGUAAGCUCCCUCAUAACACUUAUUUGGGAAAACAAAAACAAAAACAAAAACAAAACACUUAUUUGGUGUUUUAUAGAAACAAAACUAGUAAGACCA
rnacentral:lncRNA from 1 species